CUCAUUCACACACUAACCCACUCAUUCACACACCCACUCAUUUACACACUAACCCACUUGUUCACACACCCGCUCAUUCACACACUAACUCACCCAUUCACACACUAACUCUCCCAUUCAUUCACACAAACACCCACUCAUUCACACACCCACUCAUUUACACACUAACCCACUCGUUCACAUACCCGCUCAUUCACACACUAACCCACUCGUUCACACACUAACUCACCCACUCAUUCACACACUAACUCAUUCACACUCAUUCACACACUAACCCGACUCAUUCACACACUAACCCACUCAUUCACACACACACCCAUUCAUUCACACUAACUCACCCACUCAUUCACACACUAACCCACUCGUUCACACACCCACUCAUUUACACACCAACUCACCCACUCGUUCACACACCCUCUCAUUCACACACUAACUCACCUACUCAUUCACACACUAACCCAUUCAUUCACACACUCACCCACUCAUUCACACACUAACUCACCCACUCGUU
rnacentral:lncRNA from 1 species